rnacentral:rRNA from 1 species
GCGUUUAUUAGACCUUAAACCAUCCCGCUUCGGCGGUAUAUCGGUGAUUCAUAAUAAAUACGCGAAUCGCAUUGCUUUAUGCUGGCGAUGUAUCAUUCAAGUUUCUGACCUAUCAGCUUUGGACGGUAGGGUAUUGGCCUACCGGGGCAGCGACGGGUAACGGGGAAUUAGGGUUCGAUUCCGGAGAGGGAGCCUGAGAAAUGGCUACCACAUCUAAGGAAGGCAGCAGGCGCGUAAAUUACCCAAUCCUAACACAGGGAGGUAGUGACAAGAAAUAACAAUACGAGGCUUAAAGUCUUGUAAUUGGAAUGACGGAAAUUUAAGCUCUUUCCGGAGUAUCAAUUGGAGGGCAAGUCUGGUGCCAGCAGCCGCGGUAAUUCCAGCUCCAAUAGCGUAUAUUAAACUUGUUGCAGUUAAAAAGCUCGUAGUUGAAUUUCUGCUGCAUCAUUUAUAUUCCUUAAUCGGUUUAUUUAUGUUGUGGCUUUUUCUGGUGAUUAUAUUUCGGUAUGAUUAUCCAGAUUGUUACUUUGAGAAAAUUAGAGUGCUUAAAGCAGGCUUUUGCCUUGAAUACUUUAGCAUGGAAUAACUAAGUAGGACUUUGGUUCUAUUUUGUUGGUUUAAGAGCCAAAGUAAUGAUUAAUAGGAACAGUUGGGGGCAUUCGUAUUUAACUGUCAGAGGUGAAAUUCUUAGAUUUGUUAAAGACGAACUACUGCGAAAGCAUUUGCCAAGGAU